rnacentral:rRNA from 1 species
GGGUGCGAUCAUACCAGCACUAAUGCAUCGUAUCUCAUCAGAAGUUCGCAGUUGAGCGUGCUUGGGUGAGAGUAGUACUAGGAUGGGUGACCUCCUGGGAAGUCCUCGUGUUGCACCCC